UCUGGGUUGGAUGAGUGGCGAACGGGUGAGUAACACGUGAGUAACCUGCCCUCUUCUUUGGGAUAACGGUCGGAAACGGCUGCUAAUACCGGGUAUUCACUGUCCUUCGCAUGGGGGGUGGGUGGAAAGGUUUUUUCUGGUGGGGGAUGGGCUCGCGGCCUAUCAGCUUGUUGGUGGGGUGAUGGCUUACCAAGGCUUUGACGGGUAACCGGCCUGAGAGGGUGACCGGUCACAUUGGGACUGAGAUACGGCCCAG
rnacentral:rRNA from 1 species